GAAUUUGCUGAGAAUGGCCCUCUGCUCCUGCCCCCUGUUUGUUUCUCCCAACCCCUCUCUCAUAGGAAUUUUCAGCCAGGAGAAAUCCUGGAAACACCAUGCACCCCCGCCCCCCAAAAAUACGAGAUUACAUCCAAAGCACCAUACCCUUUCUUGCAAAGCCAAAACUGAAAGUUCAUCACACUUUUUCCAUUUGCCAUCUUUCUCAGACUGGCAGAGUGAUCCUUUGGCUGCACCUGGAAAGAAAACAAGGAGAAAUGACAUGGGAAUCUGCUUCACGGGACUCACCUGAAUCGGCAACUUGGACGAAGCAAUGUUCAGAACCUUGCCCCCCCCCCAAGCAGAGCACAUGUAGACAACCCUCACGCUUUUUGCAGAUAAAAACUGGAAUACUCACAAUGCCGUACACGUUUGCAUUCAGUAUUGGAGGGGCCUGGCCAUGCAAAUAGAGGACAUUCUGCCACUGUAUGAAAGGAAGGAUGAGAGUCAGAGCCUCACAGUGUGGGUGCCUGGGAACCCAGGCUCCCCUAGUAUUGGAACCAGUGGUUCCCAGCCAGUUAAGCCCCACCCCCCACCCCCAGCUUUCCUGGGCAGCAGUGUGAUUUCAAGGGCAGAUGCCUUGACCUCUCAGCAGCCCUAAGUGAAAUGUCCUUCCACAGAAUCAGCGCCUUCCUAAUGUGGGCAUCCUGCUCAUCCUCAGGAACUCCAGCACUACCUUUCAACUUUUUAAAAGAAAGUGGUUGUGAACCUUGUGUACCGUGUUUUGGAACCUAUCCUUCCACAUGAUGAAGAUGGGGAGAGAGUCCACAACAAACUAAACCAAGUUCUUUAAGUAUGGACAGUAGAAACUGGGUAGGCAGAGAAGGGAAGAACUUAUGCUUACUACCCUUGGCAAAACCGCCCCUGUGAAUCUUCAUCAUAUGCAACAAUGGGGCAAAUCUUUAAACCUCCCUGUAUAGGAAAGCAGUAGGUGUGGGGCACACCCUGCACCUGCUAUCCAGCACUCAUCAGGGGAAACACACCAGGCCAGACAUUGGAUCCAGCAACCUCCCAAGCCAGUUGGCAUUGGGAGGUGAUUGGAGAAGUUCCAUUCAUGCUAGAGUGCCUCGGGGUGCUUACCAGUUAUAGUCAUCCUACUGCAGUCAACUUGCCCUUGUUGAAUGCCAACUGGAAUCAAAAUGAAACAGCCAGAUAAACAAGUCCAAACCACUGUAAUUCAGUCAUAUAAGGGAAAGCAUGUAGUACAUAAAAAGGUGAGACACCCUACUCAUUUGUACUAGUAGUGUCUGCACUCCCUAAUGGCUGGCAUAUGAGAGACUGUAAAGUGUGAAGAAGGAGUGAUCAGGGCGGCACCCGCUUUAUAAGGAAACGGCCAGCCCUGAGCUGCUUGUCCCACUGGCCCAAAGGCUAUUUCCUUCAGGAGGAAGUCUCUGAAUGGAGGGGUCAGCAAUUAUGCAACCUGAAUUGACUUUUAUAUUAAGAUUAAGAUGGGUUAAUUACCCAUCAUGUUUUUUGCAUGUCUUAUUAUUCAUUACAAACUCACGGUUGUUUUUUGUUUUGUUUUUUUGCUCUUGAACAGACUUGCAUGCACAUUUUCAUUCUUUUUUUGGGUCUUCUUUCCAAAAUACUUUUUAUUAAUCCUUAUUAAUUUAGCUGCAUUUGGCAAAAGCGUAAAAUAGCUCUCAGCUAUCCCAAUGUUUAUGGCCCACAAUCCCCCAUUUUUUGGUUGCACUGCGGCAAUUUGCAUUCUUUUGUAUACCAAAUUGCAUUAAUUAGGGCAUAUGCUCCCUUCUGUUGGCACAAGUAGAAGCAAAAGCCUGACAACUAUCAGAAUAUAAGUAGUGAAGAAUUGAAGGCAAUAACCCAGGAGAUAUUUUAUAGCAGCUUUUUUAGGUCCCAUUGCAAGACCCUAUUAGUGUGCAGUAGACAUAUGCACACAGCAUUUUAAAGAAGCAUUCCUUUGCAUGCUUAAAGUAUGCAACAUAGUUUGGAACGCAGUGCAACAUAGUUUGGAACUCACUGCCUUAAUGAAAAAGAUACUCACUAAUUUUAUAGGAAUCCAUUUUAAUCCUGAUGGAUCAGAUUUUGAAAAAUGGAAGUUCCCACCACCACUGGCCUAUUAAAUGUUUUUCAGCAUUUACUUUGCAAUGGGAACACUGGGCUUGAUUUUUUUACUGUUCCAUCACCUCCAGCCUCUGGUUCAAGGAACUCUCAUAUAUACACACAUAUCCAACAGCUGGUUUCAUUCCAAGCCUGGGAAAACUAUUCCUUUCCCAUUCUGCCUGAGCGGCACUGCCCAGUGUAACAGACCAAUUAAUGUAAAAGAUAACAUAUUUCUAUAUCCUAUCCUCUAUACAACAUAAUAUGAUUAAAAUAGACAGUAAUACAAGUCCAGUAUAUUUUUUUUUUUUUAAUAAUUUUUAUUAACUGGCCAAUCACAUCAAAUUAAAUCACAUCACAUAAAUUCCAAAUUACAAAGCCAAAUUUUUAAAUUUUGUUGGGGGAACCCAUACUUCAAGAUCAAAUCAUCUUCUUAUUACUGCAUUAAUGUCCAAAUCAGUCCCAAUCAGUCCAAACAGAGUUCAUAGUUCUAUCCAAUCUUAUCUUGGUGUUUCCACAUCAUAUCUUGUUCAUAUAAUUUUUAUUUUUCCUUUACGAUCUCUUCUGUUAGUCUCCUUAAGCCGAUAAGCAAAUAUAAUAAUCCUGUGUGAAUUUCCCGUUCUUCCAAUCUAAGUCCAGAUGGUUUCCAUAAAUCAUCUCCUUCGUAGAUAACAUCGCUCUUUCCAUCAUAAAUUAGGCAGUUGUCACUCUUAAAUCCCACCGAGGAGUUAGUCCACGAUAUGUAAACAACUCUGUUUCUUCUCCUCCCAGACUCAAGAGCUCCGACAGUGCCUCCCAAAAUGGCGACGGCAUUUUUAACUGCGUCAUUCCAAAACUCUUAAAUUUCCAGCUUCGUCUUGGAACAUUGCUUUGGUUCGAAAAUUUAUCUCCACACAGCCUUAAAUCCACAACUUAAGUCCUUAAAACGACAUUUCUGACUCUUUAGGGGAGGGAUUCUUGUUUAAUCACAUAGAGAAAUAAAAGAGAGUUUUUCCCCCCUCCCCCCUCAGUCAUUUGCCGUACCGUCUCUUGACGUAUCUUCUCAUAUCUUAUUCUUGUCUUGUUUUAUCAGAGAUCUCUUCUGUCAGCAGUCUUUUCUCCCCCUCUUUCCUUGGAAGUAUGUGCAAUUUAUCUCGUCCAAAUUGUUUCUUUUGAAGAUUCUUGCAAACUAGUGGCGCGGAUCAGAGACGGCUUCGAGGAGUGCCGGAAUCCCACAGGAGGGCUUUGUGCCUAGUGCCCCCAUCCCCACAAAUUCGGGGGUGGUAUAGGGCACAGCAGGCAAGGGCCGUCCCCCCCACAAUCCUGGAGGGGUUAAGGAGGCUAAUUACCCCCAUCAUAGCCUCCAAAUUACCUCAUGUGGGUCGGAGAGAUGUUAUUGUCAGCCAUCUUCCGAUGCGCCCCCUAGUGGCCCCCCAAUACAAGUCCAGUAUAAAAGACCAUACUAAGUCCAUUUCCCAUCUUCCUCUUGGGGAUCAUAGUGCAGUCUUCUGCUUCAUAGUAGCCUUGUGCAAACUGCCUUAUGCAGUGCUUCUACAAGGUGUCUCAAUUUCCACCACCAGUGGGGUUGGAACUGUGCCAGACAAAGGUGUUGAUUUAUUGACAUGGGUGCAACGAUACCAUGAAUCUUUUGCCUCCAAUUUAAAGCACUGUGAGUUGUCUAUAACACCUGAUAGGGCCAUUGGACAUGCUUCAGCCAUGUCCCCUAAAGGCUUAUGGUUGGCGAAAACCAUACUUCGUCUCAACAGCCGGGCUUUUACUUCCUCCUUUUUCUUUUCACAUCCGUAGUUUUUCAGCAGAUCAUCUCAUUAGCUUAUUUCUGAAAAUAUGUGUGCACGUCCCACCAAUAAACAAGGGGGGAGGGCAUGUGACAGGCAGUGGUGACCAAACAUCUGUUGCUGUGCUUCAAUAAGGCCACUGGGAGUGGAGAAGGACAAACUGUGUUCAUAUUUCGUCAGGUUAAAUGGGAGCAUGGAGACAUUUUGUCAGCAAUGGCUCUGUCCAUCCCUCCUGCUGCUCCUUUAAACAAAAAUCUUAGGGGGAUAGACUUGCCAUAUUCAUUUUGAUGUUGUUCUUGUAAAUGAAUAAUUUCCAUCUGUUGUAUAAUGAGCAUGAAAGUUGGUUGUACUGGGAGGUGGCGGGCGGACAGUGGAGAGAUAAAACUGUGGAGGAAGCUGGGGGCUGACUGUUCCUUCUGUAAAAGUUCUGUUAUUAUGCUGGAUUGUAUCUGUGGAUAAAAUCUUACCUCAGUGCUUCCACCUAUUAGUAAGUGAUGCAGACAAUGAAAUAAGGAAGAAAAAAAAAACCAUACAUUUUUAAGGCCAGGUGAUCUGCCUUACUUUUAUUUACUACCAUGCUGUAAAAUAAGACGCCCACAUAUUUUCAGUUCUUUGGAAGUUUUCCAAACAGUUAUCUGCAGUGGUGACACAAUUUAAUCGUGCUAUUUUGUGGUAAGCAAUAAUAUUCAUAUGCUUUGCUUCAGUAAAAUGCAAUAACUAUAAUAUUUUCAAGCAUUGUGAUCCAUUCAGAAAGCUCUGUGUUGGUAAUAUAGGGCUCAUCUACACUUUCUCUUGUGACGUGCUUUCCAGGCAUGGGUCCUAGUGGUAUUCCCUUUGCCCCACUCCUUCCCAAGGAUAAACCUGCUCUUUAACAAUCUGGGGGGAACCCAAAUUGCUGUUUGCUCCGAAUGAGCACUAAAGAGUAAUUUUCCCUGCAGGGAAAGCAGCGGGACAAGAGGAAGUAUAGAUAAACUGAUAAGUGUUCCACAGUGGGGAUUAAAUUAUAUAAUAAUUAAAUUAUAUUAACCCCACGAUUGAGGGGGCCAUGGUCGGGUGACAUCAGUACACUGCAUAACAUGACAUCAGCAUACCCCAAGCACGUGCGAGUUGUGUGCAUGAGUGAUGUCACCAGACCCUGUGGCAUGUAUGUGCAGUGUGCUGACAUUGCGUGGCCCCAGCCCUUUCAAUUGUGGGGGCAAGGCAACGUGCUUGCAGGUGAAUUAAGUAGGUUCACUUAAAAAUACAGUCAGAACAUAUUUCUCCUUCAUUCCUAGGUUUGUGGCACUUUCUAACCUGUGUAUGCAAAGAAAGAGCACAAUGCCAUGCACAAUUUCAGUCUUGUAAUGACCAUUGUAUUUAAUGGGGUCUACAUGUUAGAACCUUCUUCAGAAUUCCACACACACACACACAAUGUAACAAUUCUAAAUUCUAGCAUAGCGGUAAGGGUGUGGGUGUGCACACACACAUCGUUUUAAAACAAUUAAAUUGUGAAAGAGAAUAUGCUCUUAGAAUAUCCCUUUAAGUUUCAGCUCUGCUAUUUUAUUAAAUAAUAAUUAAUCAACUCCCCAUCAUAAGUUCCUGUCAGUUCAUGGAGAUGAAAAUGCAUUCAAUUCUGCAUAUUCAGUUUUGAAAGCAGUAACAGGAUGUAGUGAACUCUCUGCAAAUGUCACUCCUCUGCUACUCCUCCUUUUAGAAUACUUUUCAGAUAAGCGCUCUAUCAGCUUCAUGUAUAUGAAGCAGAGAUUGCAUCCAUUGGGCCGUUAAGUUUGUAACUAGUGUAGAUUCCCAGCGGAUAGACUGCCUUAUGGGAUGUAACCUUACCUAUUUUCUCAUUUGAGGAAAUAUACUAGUUCCGAUUCUUUCCUCUUUUUUUGGUUGUUGUUCCUAUCUCUCUGGGGAUAAAAGGAACUUGCUGCCGAGUAGCAGCCGCUUGCAGUUUCCUGCUGUGUCUUUCCACAGUUGUGGAAAUGGCCUGUGGCUCUCAAUGGCCUGUGUCUGUAUCUUUGAGCUAGGUAGAACAUGGAUUUGUCUGUUCUCUGAGCCUCAAGGGAAGCUAUAAAAUGAACAGCAUUUCAUGGAUCAGAGCCAGAAGGAACAACAUCAGUUGCAAAAAAAGGGGGGGCGCAUCCACACCCCAGCUGAAAAUAAACAUUUUCCAAAACAGUUUUGUCUGCUGAAGCAAACAAAGGUGUGAAGAUGUGAAUCUCCACAUAUCUAGUUUGUUCGCUGUUCCCACGUAUCGUUCUGCAAGAACCAUAUAUUCUGCCUGCUCAUAUUUCUAAUUGAUAGUCAUGUUGCCCGUUUUUUUUUAAAAAAGCUGCACAUGACCCUUCAAGAGAUAGUUUGGACUCUGAACUUAGACUCUGUUCUUAAACAGGGUUUAAUUAAUUGAAUCUAAUGACAAAAAUAGCAGCAUAAUUAAAACAAUACAAAAAUUACUAACUACUCAUGAUGCCUUAAGUCACAUGUAGGUUAAAACAUGUAAAAGGUUUUAUUUCCUGUUGAGUGGGACAAUAGCAUUGUAACCAGUGUAUUACUGACCAACUC
rnacentral:lncRNA from 1 species